rnacentral:rRNA from 1 species
GGGGGACCACCCUCCAACCCUAAAUACUACCCAGUGACCGAUAGCGUAUAGUACUGUGAAGGAAAGGUGAAAAGCACCCCGGGAGGGGAGUGAAAAAGAACCUGAAACCCUGUGCCUACAAGCACCUAGAGCGCGUCAAAGCGUGAUAGGGUACUUUUUGUAGAACGGUCCGGCGAGCGAUUGUAUGCAGCAAGGUUAAGGACUUAAGGUCUGGAGCCGAAGCGAAAGCGAGUUUGAAAAGGGCGUUAAGUUGCAUAUAAUGGGCCCGAAACCGGGUGACCUACCCAUGGUCAGGUUGAAGUGGAAGUAAAAUUCCAUGGAGGACCGAACCGACCUCCGUUGAAAAGGCGGCGGAUGAACUGUGGGUAGCGGAGAAAUUCCAAUCGAACCCGGAGAUAGCUGGUUCUCCCCGAAAUAGUUUUAGGACUAGCCUCAAGUUAGAUACCUGGAGGUAAAGCACUGAAUAGCCUAGCGGCCGAGAGGUUAGCGAAGCUUAUCAAACUCAGAAUGCCAGAGUAUUGAUGCUUGGGAGUCAGACAGUGUCAGAUAAAUGUCAUUGUCAAAAGGGAAACAGCCCAGAUCUACAGCUAAGGUCCCAAAGUCAGGUUAAGUGGAAAACGAUGUGAAGAUACGCAGACAACCAGGAUGUUGGCUCAGAAGCAGCCACUCAUUCAAAGAGUGCGUAAUAGCUCACUGGUCGAGCGUCUUUGCGCGGAGAAUUUAACGGGGCUAAACCUGACACCGAAGCUUAGGCAAUAUAGCAAUGUAUUGGGUAGGGGAGCGUUGUAUACGCGGUGAAACAGUAGCGCAAGCGGCUGUGGAGUGUAUAGAAGUGAGAAUGCCGGAAUGAGUAGCGCGAAUGCAGUGAGAAUCUGCAUGGCCGAAAGCCUCAGGUUUUUGGAGGAAGGUUCGUCCGCUCCAAGUUAGUCGGGAGCUAAGGUGAGGCCGAGAGGCGUAGCCGAUGCACAGACGGUAGAGAUUCCGUCACCACCAAAAGAGUUAAGCACAGGGACACAUUUGAAGUCUCAGAGCCGGGUGUUGGUUCCGGUAGAGAUCGAGGGAAGUUAGUACCGAAGUCUGGGAUGGAAGAUGGCGAGAAAAGCUGUGUGGAUUUCUGAGGUGCCCGUACCGCAAACCGACACAGGUAGGUAGGAAGAAGAUUCUAAGGCCAACGGGAGAAGGGUUGUUAAGGAACUCGGCAAAUUGACCCCGUAACUUCGGGAGAAGGGGUGCUCCAGAGAUGGAGCCGCAGAGAAUCGGCCCAAGCAACUGUUUACCAAAAACACAGGUUUGUGCUAAAUCGAAAGAUGACGUAUACGAGCUGACGCCUGCCCGGUGCUGGAAGGUUAAGAGGAGAUGUGCAAGCAUUGAAUCGAAGCCCCAGUGAACGGCGGCCGUAACUAUAACGGUCCUAAGGUAGCGAAAUUCCUUGUCAGGUAAGUUCUGACCCGCAUGAAAGGCGUAAUGAUUUGGGCACUGUCUCAACAGCCCGCCCGGCGAAAUUGUAGUACCGGUGAAGAUGCCGGUUACCCGCGACAAGACGGAAAGACCCCAUGGAGCUUUACUGUAGCCUAAUAUUGGGUUUCGAUGUUGCAUGCACAGGAUAGAUGGGACUCUGGGAAACCAGUGCUUUGGCGCUGGCGGAGAGGCCGUUGGGAUACCAUCCUUGCGAUAUUGGAAUUCUAACCUGCGGCUCUGAAUCGAGUCGGGGGACAUUGUUAGGUGGGCAGUUUGACUGGGGCGGUCGCCUCCUAAAAAGUAACGGAGGCGUUCAAAGGUUCGCUCAGCUUGAACGGAAAUCAAGCAAAAGAGUGCAAACGCAGAAGCGAGCCUAACUGCGAGACUGACGGGUCGAGCAGUAACGAAAGUUGGAGUUAGUGAUCCGGUGGUAUGUGAGUGGAAAUGCCAUCGCUCAACGGAUAAAAGUUACCCUGGGGAUAACAGGCUGAUCUCCCCCAAGAGUCCACAUCGACGGGGAGGUUUGGCACCUCGAUGUCGGCUCAUCGCAUCCUGGGGCUGUAUUCGGUCCCAAGGGUUUGGCUGUUCGCCAAUUAAAGCGGUACGCGAGCUGGGUUCAGAACGUCGUGAGACAGUUCGGUCCCUAUCUGUCGUGGGCGCAGGAUAUUUGAUGGGAGCUGU